GACGAACGCUGGCGGCGUGCUUAACACAUGCAAGUCGAACGGUGAAGCGCCUUCCUUUUUGGUGGGUGUGGAUGAGUGGCGAACGGGUGAGUAACACGUGAGUAACCUGCCCCCUUCUUCUGGAUAACCGCAUGAAAGUGUGGCUAAUACGGGAUAUUCUGGGUCUGUCGCAUGAUGGGUCUGGGAAAGAUAUUGUUUCGGGGGGGGAUGGGCUCGCGGCCUAUCAGCUUGUUGGUGGGGUGAUGGCCUACCAAGGCGGUGACGGGUAGCCGGCCUGAGAGGGUGGACGGUCACACUGGGACUGAGACACGGCCCAGACUCCUACGGGAGGCAGCAGUGGGGAAUAUUGCACAAUGGGCGCAAGCCUGAUGCAGCGACGCCGCGGGAGGGAUGGAGGCCUGCGGGUUGUGAACCUCUUUCGCCAGUGAAGCAGGCCUGCCUCGUUUGUGGGUGGGUUGACGGUAGCUGGAGAAGAAGCGCCGGCUAACUACGUG
rnacentral:rRNA from 1 species